UACGUAGGUGGCGAGCGUUGUCCGGAUUUACUGGGCGUAAAGCGCGCGCAGGCGGCAGUCUAAGUCCUCUGUGAAAUCACCCGGCUCAACUGGGUGGCUGCGGAGGAGACUGGGCAGCUUGAGGGGCCUAGAGGCCGGUGGAACUCCCGGUGUAGUGGUGAAAUGCGUAGAGAUCGGGAAGAACACCAGUGGCGAAGGCGGCCGGCUGGGGGCGCCCUGACGCUGCGGCGCGAGAGCGUGGGGAGCAAGCCGG
rnacentral:rRNA from 1 species